CUUAGUGGCGGACGGGUGAGUAACACGUGAGUAACCUGCCUCUCAGAGUGGAAUAACGUUUGGAAACGAACGCUAAUACCGCAUAACGUGAGAAGAGGGCAUCCUCUUUUUACCAAAGAUUUAUCGCUGAGAGAUGGGCUCGCGGCCGAUUAGGUAGUUGGUGAGAUAACAGCCCACCAAGCCGACGAUCGGUAGCCGGACUGAGAGGUUGAUCGGCCACAUUGGGACUGAGACACGGCCCAGACUCCUACGGGAGGCAGCAGUGGGGGAUAUUGCACAAUGGGGGGAACCCUGAUGCAGCGACGCCGCGUGAGGGAAGACGGUUUUCGGAUUGUAAACCUCUGUCUUUAGGGACGAAAAAAUGACGGUACCUAAGGAGGAAGCCACGGCUAACUACGUGCCAGCAGCCGCGGUAAUACGUAGGUGGCAAGCGUUGUCCGGAAUUACUGGGUGUAAAGGGAGCGUAGGCGGGGAGACAAGUUGAAUGUCUAAACUAUCGGCUUAACUGAUAGUCGCGUUCAAAACUAUCACUCUUGAGUGCAGUAGAGGUAGGCGGAAUUCCUAGUGUGAGCGGUGAAAUGCGUAGAUAUUAGGAGGAACACCAGUGG
rnacentral:rRNA from 1 species